UACAGAGGGGGCAAGCGUUGUUCGGAAUUACUGGGCGUAAAGGGCGCGUAGGCGGCCUGUUAAGUCGAACGUGAAAUCCCCGGGCUCAACCCGGGAACUGCGUCCGAUACUGGCAGGCUUGAAUUCGGGAGAGGGAUGCGGAAUUCCAGGUGUAGCGGUGAAAUGCGUAGAUAUCUGGAGGAACACCGGUGGCGAAGGCGGCAUCCUGGACCGAGAUUGACGCUGAGGCGCGAAAGCCAGGGGGAGCAAACGGG
rnacentral:rRNA from 1 species